CUUAAACCGUGUGGCAGGACUUGUGAUGUCCAUCCUAUUGGAUCAUGGGCGGGGCGUGCAACAUGUCUUUGGAAUGGGAAAACAAUAACAAAUUCAUAGAGGCAAUUAUUAUUUCUGUGGCAAGUACAGUAGAGGCGAUAAAACCAAAAGUUUGUAUGUAGGUUGUUGGUUUCUUGAACAAAGGAGGUGGUCACUUAGUAUCCCUAUUGCUCCACCCCUGGAUGAGGCGUGGCAAUUCACAGGGUAUAUCUCCUGUGAUUCUGAAGGGUGUGUGUGUACUUGCUUGGGGCCAAGAUCUUAUUUUGAGUGAGUCACCAUCUUUCCUUGCCAGAGACCCCCUGGACAGAAGUUGCACUUUGAAAAAACCUAAGUGAGUAAUUAGGACUUCUGUAUUUUAUCCUUUUUGUUUUUAUCUGUUG